AAAAACUGCAAUAUUUAUCAAUUUAUAACUUCACAACCAUCAUAAAUUUCUUUUAAAAAAUAAAUUUAAAUUUAAAUAAUAUUUAUAUGCAUAGUAUACAUAAAUAAAACAAUUAUAUAUUAUAAAUUCAUAAAAUGCACAUGCAAUUGCGUGUACCUUGAGAACUAGCAUAUGAAAAUGUAUUGUGAGAUUCCUUGUCUGUGUAGAAAAUUAAAAAUAAUGCAUGGGGUAGAUCAGAGGGGUUAAAAUAAAAUCAUAAAAUAAAAAUAAUUAUAAUUAAUAUGUUAUUAUAUUAUAAUUUAUAUACUAGUAUAUAAAAAUUCAUUUAUUUGAAUUAUAAAAUAGAGAUAACGAAA
rnacentral:misc_RNA from 1 species